GCUGCUGCACGUUGUUUAGAAAAUACUGAUCACGAUGCUAAUAGCAAGCUCGAAAUGCUACAAGACAAGUUAUUAUUCGACAAAGGCGAAAUGUUUGGCCGGUUGCAAAUAGAAGACGGGCAAAUUCACAACGAAAUGUUGCUGUUUUUGCUCGCAGAAAUGCCCCAUACUAUAAUGUUGCACGUCAACAUGUAUUGCUUUAUGUUUUUUAUUUAGGUGUUAUGGACAAAAAAUGUGAGUAUUGUCAAGCUGUAAAGUUUGAAAAUGAAGACUGUUUCAAAUGCUGCCAUAAUGGCAAAGUUGCGCUUGAUAAUUGUCUCCUUGCCCUAAGCAGCCAAAGCAACUAUAAAACAAACAAUGAUACUGUUCAGGCACGGGACUUUCAAGCAAAUAUACAUAAGUAUAAUAGUGCAGUUUUCUUGGCUUCAUUUCGGGCAAAUUUUCGUCUUCCUCUUGGCCGUCGAACACUAUGCUUUCGUAUCUGUGGUCAAAUACGGCAUCGUGUUGGGUAUCUGCUGAGGGACAAACUACUGUUUGUGAAUAACUUUAUAUUUAUAAAGCAGGUAGAGCACUCAAUAAAAGAAUGGCACGACCUGAAAAUAAUGGCUGUAGAGAAGACGUGAUGCAAACUGUUCAGGUUGUAAUGUACAGAGUUAGCCAUUUUGCUGACACAUACAGGUACAUGGCUGGCAGCCGCUGAAAACCAUGUCCAAUCAGACAACAUGUUCGCUCAAAAGAUAUUACGAUGAUCAUAAAGUAUGAAAUACCGUAUAUAUUAUGAUGUCAUAAUUUAUAUGAGGACGAUAUAUUGUGUUUAUAGUACCCAGACCCCUACCGUAAAGGAAUCAUAUUUUCAAAGCAGCAUGGCUGCCAGCAAUAUUGAUAAUGAGAAACAUUCUCUAACACACAAGGAUGCGAUUCCACAAGUUAUGAAUUGAUUCAUGAUACAGCAAAAUACUUCUUCUAUGCUUCUAGCAUUAUAGGUCUGAUUAUUUUCAUUGGUAGCAAGUGUCUGUUAUGGUGUUUUUGAAUUUUUGUGUCUGAGAGGCUAGCUAGCUGGUCUAGCCCUCAGCCUAAUUACACAAAUUAUGGGUACUAGUUAAAUAGUUUUUAAAGUAAUGCAUGCCCCAUGUGGACUGGGAAAGAAACCCAGCUAGCUAUAGCUUUUAACUGUAGCUAGUAUACCUAGCUAGAGCUAGCUAUAUAAUUUUUUACUUUUUUACUAGCUAGCUAACUAGCUAGCUACUGCCUACAUGGCAAAAUGUUUUAUUUCCUUUCUUAACCCCAAUCUUCUUUGCAAGCCAACAUGCACAUGAUCGGCCUUAUUUAGAUUCUCGAGUUUUUAAUUGAAACUAAAUGAACUCCUAAAAGAUGUUACUGAAAGAGGAGUUCUAAACAAAACUGUAUCACAUGUUUAUCUUUAGAAUUUAGAAAGAGGUGUUUAACUCAUUGUGAUUUGCCACUUCAUUUACAUCCCAAUGAUAAACUCCGGGAUGCAGAUGACAUAGACAGUGUUUUUCCAGCGGAAACUCCUAAUCAACAGGAACAACCUUACCUGUUUGAAAUUGUUUGGUUGUUUAUGGUUCAUGAGCCAUGUGGCCAUCUGAAUCCUAAUUUCAAGUGUAUUUAGAAUGGUUUUUGCACGAAAAGUUUUCCAAAAAAAUGUUUAGCAUCUACCGUUGCUGAAGUUGGUGGAUAUCUACCGUAUAGACGUCGUGAUAAUGGAAUCUGUAACAACGUCAAUAACAUUAAUGUUGAUAAUCACUGGGUUGUUCCCUACAACCCAUGGCUCUUAAAGAAGUAAAACACAAAUAUAAACUUGGAGGCUCUUAUGUGUGUUAAAAGUUUGUGCUAAACAGAGAGAAUCACAAUGCUUGCCAAUAUUGUAUCCAGACAUUUCUCUUCAUUUCGUUUUCAAUAACAACAGAAAAGUUUGGACACCCAUGCAAAACUUUAACUUUAAAAUUGUCUCUAGAAUGCAUAGUGUGAGUCCUCGUGCAGAUGAAGUACCGCCAGCUGAAAACAUCGAUGUAGCUUUGGAGGCUGGAAGAGCUUCUCAACUGAGAGCUCAACUUACUGAAGAACAGACAGCACUGGCUGAUGCCGUUAUAAAAGUUGUUGUAAAGCUGAUAACAAAAUGACCCAAAAUAACUGCUUGUUUUAUUUAGAGGGAGCUGGUGGCAGUGGUAAAACCUUUACUUAUAAUUACCUUAUUUCUGAACCUUCAGGUAGAGGCUUUCAAUUUGGAACUGCUGAAUUUAUUGGUAUAUUGGUAUAGCAGCAACUCUUUUGUAAAUUGGUACCACCAUACAUAAACUGUCCCGGUCACCAGUUCCUAUUUAAGAAAACAGUACAUACAACGUAUCUCCGGUGUCUUCUUAUUCUGCUGACGGCAAAAAAAUCUUAAUUUACUUGAUGAAUCUUCCAUGAUUUCAAGAAUGCUUUUCAUGCAAUAGAUCGUCUUCUUAAAGACAUUUGCAAUAGCGAACUUCCAUUUGGAGUGCAAAUGGUGUUGUGUGUGGUGAUGAAGAGGAACGGAAUCAAUAUCCGGUAGAAUUUUUAAAUAGUAUCACACCUUCAGGUAUGCCUCUUCAUUGUUUAGAGCAAAGGCAUUUGAUGAUGUUCGAGUAAGUGUUGUUCCAUCAUCCAAGCAAGGAUUUUUAUAGGAAAAUGUUAAACUAAUAAAAAAUAUUGUUUACCGUCAAAUUCUUACAUAAUUCAUACAAUAAUGAGGUACUCAUUGAUGCAAAUAUUAAAUUCUUAGCAGAAAUUCAACCUUUAGCACAUUUUAUCUAUUUGCCAUGUUGGACAAAGUGAAAAGAGGUUGACGUGUUAGAGUAAUUGGAAUGACAUACCCUUUUGUGCAACAUGGAACGUGCACUGUUGAUGGGAGACAUGUUACUAUCUGGUGCACCCAUGUCUUACGAAUUUGUAAGGCACAUCAGAAAAUCAUAAUUAGGUUUCGUAGCGUCUAAAACUUAAUUUAACAAUAAAUAUCUGGAAAAUUGAUGAAAUUUUGAAAGUAAAAAUAUUAGUAUGCUUAUCAAUAAUUAUUCUCUAGAUAAUCUGUAUUAUGUUUAAAAAAGUAAAAAAAAAAUAAGAUAUACUUAUAUGUGAAAGCAAAUAAUGGUAUUUUGUUAAAAGUGGUGCAAACUCUGAUAAUGUUGAUAAUACUACUUUUUUGCAGAUAAAUACGAUUUGCAUUUUCAAAGUUAUAGUAUGCCUACAGCCAUUCUUAAACCCUUAAAGUACAGUAAGGAUGCAUUUUUAUGAAUGUUGUGUUAGACAUGCAUCUUUUUAGGUGAAGUGCAAAGUACUAUGGCUUACCUUCACGUGGUGCACUUCGUUAAGUAAUUAGCGUAUAAGCAUAUACAUGUUUACUUAAAACAAUAAAUUUUAUAACAAUAAUAUGACUAAAUAAGUGGCUAAAAAUGAAGAGACAUUUAAAGUGUCCUCAGUUAAGAGUAAAAUUAUUUUCACCUUUCUUUAAAGCUCACUUAAAUUCGAAGUGGUAGAAAGACAUUCUAAUGUAUCUUCUAAUUUUAAAUCAGCAAAGAAGUUGAACACUUUUUUGUUUCCAUAUAUUGCAGUUGUGUUGAUACUAUUGUUAAAAAAUUACAUGCUGCUUACAUGCUAAUUAUGAACUAAAAGCCAGGGAAUGGACCCAAUCAGUGUGUUUGCAAAGUAGGUUUUGUUUAAUGAAUGACUGAACUAAAAAUUCUACAUAUUACAUUUAUUGUGAGAGACACUGUUGUAAAUUGAAGCAGUAAAUAAAUAGAGAGUGUCGAACAUAGAAAUUUGAUGACAUACUUUGUUGCAAAAUCACAUGAAACAACUAUUACAAUUUUUUAAAAUGUACAAUAUUGAGGUCUGAUGUUUACAGGUAUCUUAACACAAUUAAAAAUUGCAGAAUGACGGAUGUUCAUACCGCACAAGUCUGGGCCCGAGCGAAGUGGCUUGUAGGGACAAAUUUUCAGAACUCCUGCAAAGUGUAAACAUUUAGCUAGCGUUUGUACACACUUUUAAGUUAUUAUAUAGAUAGUUAUUUGCUGUUUAAUACUUAUACGUAUUGUUUUUGCAAAAAUGGAAAAGAAAGAUUGUGUACAAUGGCUUAUGGAACGUGGCCUGUCAACAUGAGGUACAGACAAGAGCUUAAUAUGCGUGUUAAUCGAUUCAAAUUAUACCCAUCACUUGCGGAAUAAUUGAGAGUCAAAAAGAGAAAGAAAUUUUAGUUUUGGUACAACAUUAGAUCUCAAUCUUAUCCCUCCCAUUUCAGCUCCCUGGCGUCCUAAAGAGGAAUUGUAUCCAAUAGUUACAGCAUCGAUAUUCAAAGAAUACAGUUGUAGAAAAGAUAGUUUAGGUCAGCGACAGAAAGCUUAUGCUAUGUUGACUAGCAGUAAAAUAGUUUCAGUAAAAACACAUGUUGCAGGUGAUGAUAAUGUAUUUGUUAGAGCACUUAUUAGAAAAUCAUAUGGUGAAUUAACAAGGCCGACAGUUAUUCUAUUUAAAGCCUACUGUGAAUGUCUUGGUGGUGUAAGUGGCUUAUGUU